AUACGGCCAUAUCACAUUGAAACACCGUUUCUCAUACAAUCACCGAAGUUAAGCAACGUAAAGACUGGUUAGUACCUAGAUGAGGGACAACUUAGGAAUACCGGGGGAUGUA